rnacentral:rRNA from 1 species
AGUGAACGCUGGCGGUAGGCCUAACACAUGCAAGUCGAACGGCAGCACAGUAAGAGCUUGCUCUUACGGGUGGCGAGUGGCGGACGGGUGAGGAAUACAUCGGAAUCUACUUUUUCGUGGGGGAUAACGUAGGGAAACUUACGCUAAUACCGCAUACGACCUACGGGUGAAAGCAGGGGAUCUUCGGACCUUGCGCGAUUGAAUGAGCCGAUGUCGGAUUAGCUAGUUGGCGGGGUAAAGGCCCACCAAGGCGACGAUCCGUAGCUGGUCUGAGAGGAUGAUCAGCCACACUGGAACUGAGACGCGGUCCAGACUCCUACGGGAGGCCGCAGUGGGGAAUAUUGGACAAUGGGCGCAAGCCUGAUCCAGCCAUACCGCGUGGGUGAAGAAGGCCUUCGGGUUGUAAAGCCCUUUUGUUGGGAAAGAAAAGCAGCAGGUUAAUACCCCGCUGUUCUGACGGUACCCAAAGAAUAAGCACCGGCUAACUUCGUG